AGAGUCCUCCAUAGCUUUCCGGUCUCAGUGAAACUGAUAACUGCUCCCGCUUGGGGAGUAUGUUCGCAAGCCUGAUACUCAAAGGAAUUGACGCGUGCUCACACAACCGCUGGAGGAUGUGGCGUAAUUCGAGGCUACGCGUAGAACCUUAUCCUGGGCUUGACAUGCACGGAUUAACCUCGUGAAAGCGAGGCGACGCCUUCGGGUGGUACGUGCACAGGUGCUGCAUGGCUGUCGUCAGCUCGUGUCGUGAGAUGUCGGGUUAAGUCCCUUAACGAGCGAAACCCUUGUCACUAGUUGCCACCGGGUAAUGCCGCGGACUCUAGUGAGACUGCCCGUGUUAAACCGGAGCAACCUCGGACUCACGUCAAGUCCUCAUGGCCUUUAUGUCCAGGGCUGCACACGUCCUACAAUGGCGCGUACAAAGGGAAGCGAACUCGCGAGAGCAAGCAAAUCCCACAAAGCGCGCCCCAGUUCGGAUUGCAGGCUGCAACUCGCAUGCAUGAAGCCGGAAUCGCUAGUAAUCGCAGGUCAGCAUCCUCCGCUGAAUAUGUUCCUGAGCAUUGACACACCGCCCGUCAAGC
rnacentral:rRNA from 1 species